rnacentral:rRNA from 11 species
UAUUGUGAAAGUAGUAUCUUGAAGGAACCGUACUUCAUCUGAUCUUGGAAGCUAAGCAGGGUCAGUCCUGGUUUGUACUUAGAUGGGAGACUGUUAAUGAAUAUCAGUAUUGUAGACU